rnacentral:rRNA from 1 species
GACGAACCGUGCGAACGUUAUUCGGAAUCAUUGGGCUUAAAGGGCGCGUAGGCGGCGGUGUAAGUUGGAAGUGAAAUCCCAUCGGCUCAACCGUGGAAUUGCUCCCAGUACUGCAUCGCUCGAGGGGGAUAGGGGUUUGCGGAACUACCAGUGGAGCGGUGAAAUGUGUUGAUAUCGGUGGGAACGCCAGUGGCGAAAGCGGCAAACUUGACCCUUCCUGACGCUGAGGCGCGAAAGCUAGGGGAGCAAACGGG